GGGUUGUGAGGUUAAGCGACUAAGCGUACACGGUGGAUGCCCUGGCAGUCAGAGGCGAUGAAGGACGUGCUAAUCUGCGAUAAGCGUCGGUAAGGUGAUAUGAACCGUUAUAACCGGCGAUUUCCGAAUGGGGAAACCCAGUGUGUUUCGACACACUAUCAUUAACUGAAUCCAUAGGUUAAUGAGGCGAACCGGGGGAACUGAAACAUCUAAGUACCCCGAGGAAAAGAAAUCAACCGAGAUUCCCCCAGUAGCGGCGAGCGAACGGGGAGCAGCCCAGAGCCUGAAUCAGUGUGUGUGUUAGUGGAAGCGUCUGGAAAGGCGCGCGAUACAGGGUGACAGCCCCGUACACAAAAAUGCACAUGCUGUGAGCUCGAUGAGUAGGGCGGGACACGUGGUAUCCUGUCUGAAUAUGGGGGGACCAUCCUCCAAGGCUAAAUACUCCUGACUGACCGAUAGUGAACCAGUACCGUGAGGGAAAGGCGAAAAGAACCCCGGCGAGGGGAGUGAAAAAGAACCUGAAACCGUGUACGUACAAGCAG
rnacentral:rRNA from 1 species